rnacentral:rRNA from 1 species
GGAUGAACGCUGGCGGCGUGCCUACUACCUGCAAGUCGAGCGAACAGACGAGGAGCUUGCUCCUCUGACGUUAGCGGCGGACGGGUGAGUAACACGUGGAUAACCUACCUAUAAGACUGGGAUAACUUCGGGAAACCGGAGCUAAUACCGGAUAAUAUAUUGAACCGCAUGGUUCAAUAGUGAAAGACGGUUUUGCUGUCACUUAUAGAUGGAUCCGCGCCGCAUUAGCUAGUUGGUAAGGUAACGGCUUACCAAGGCAACGAUGCGUAGCCGACCUGAGAGGGUGAUCGGCCACACUGGAACUGAGACACGGUCCAGACUCCUACGGGAGGCAGCAGUAGGGAAUCUUCCGCAAUGGGCGAAAGCCUGACGGAGCAACGCCGCGUGAGUGAUGAAGGUCUUCGGAUCGUAAAACUCUGUUAUUAGGGAAGAACAAAUGUGUAAGUAACUAUGCACGUCUUGACGGCACCUAAUCAGAAAGCCACGGCUAACUACGUG